UAGGGUUUGGUUUAGAGUUUAGAAUUAGGGUUAGGAUUUAGUUAGGAUUUGAUUUAGGAUUAGAAUUUGGUUAGGAUUUGGUUAGGAUUUGAUUUAAGAUUAGGAUUUGGUUUAUGAUUUAGAGUUUGGUUAGGGUUUGAUUUAGGAUUAGGAUUUGGUUUAGGAUUUAGGGUUUGAUUUAGGGGUGGUUAGGAUUUGAUUUAGGGUUAGGAUUUGAUUUAGAAUUAGGAUUUGGUUUAGGGUUUAGGAUUUAGGAUUUGGUUAGGAUUUUAUUUUGGAUUAGAGUUUGGUUUAGGGUUUAGGGUUUGGUUAGGAUUUGAUUUAGGAUUAGGAUUUGGUUUAGGAUUUAGAAAUUGGUUAGGAUUUGAUUUAAGGUUUAGGAUUUGAUUUAGGAUUUAGGGUUUGAUUUAGGAUUUAGGAUUUAAGAUUUAGUUAGGUUUGAUGAGGAUUUGAUUUAGGGUUUAGGAUUUUAUUUGAGAUUAUUUGAGAUUUAAGAUUUAGUUAUUUUUUGGCCUAAAGUUGGAAUAAAGUAAGAUUUCAACUAGGAUUAAAUUAAGAUUGAAUUGAGAUGUAUUUGAGAUAUGUUUGUAAUCAUUCUAAUAUUUCUUUAAGAUUUCUUAUUGUUUCUUUGAAAUUCCUUUGAGGUUUCUUUGAAUUUGAUUAAAGCUUGUUUAACAUUGUUAGUAUUCUAUUAGAAUUAGGAUUUUGUUGUUGCAAUUUCUAUUCUACCUUCUACAGCCAAGUGCCCGAAGCAUUCUCAAAGAAGACUUCACGUAUUAUGACAACGUUCUACCUCACGUUAUGUUCUUCCAUUCCAAAG
rnacentral:lncRNA from 1 species